CGCGGGAGGGCUGGGAGGGGGCUCAGAUGAAAACAAGGUAUUUCCAGUGUUUUCCAGGUAGUGUCGUAGGUUGAAGCCAGACCUCUGCUACCUGUCACUACUAAACUCACCUUAAUUGACCUCCUGUGCCUCUGUGGUCCCGUUCCCUGGUGUUUAAAUGAAAAGAGGACACACACACACAACCGCACUGCACGGUGUUUCCCAGGUACACUGAGGAAGACAAUAAAAAAUAAAUAAAUCUGCUGUCUCUCAAUAUUUAUCGUAAUUUACAGUGUUUUGUUGUGUGAGGAGCAGACUACUGGGGUGAUUUGUGCACAGGUGGACUUGGAAUCUCUCAGGGGAAACUACAUGUAGUAAUUGAAUUAAAAUGGCUAGAACCAGAGGAUGGGGUUGUGCGUCCCCGGGAGUUCAGAGGGUGCCGGCGCUUCAACUGAUGGUGUGGACCCAUGAGACAGAGGCUCCACCAGGUGGUAACACAAGCAGCGGGUGGAAGAGACCUUGGGAGACUUCCGUAACUCAGAAGCAAGAAGCUGGAGCCUUGUGACUGACUGGUGGUUUUGACUGCAGGCACCAACAUUCAGGGUAACAGGGACGUGAGGGGUCUCCAGCAGCAUGCCUGAAGAUACUUGUGUGUGGACGAGGGACACACACUCAAGAACCACAAGUCCCUGAACACCUUUCCCCCCAUGAACUGGCUGCUGUUUACUGGGACACCCUUGCAGAACAGCCUGGCGGAGCUCUGGGCCCUUCUGAACUUCCUAAUGCUGGAUAAUUUUGAGUCCUUGUCCAAUGUGAGUGAGAUGCAGGAGGGAAGUGAGGAGAGGACUCUGAGGCAGGAAUGGGAGGGCCAGGCCAUCUCCACUCUAAUGAAGAUAAGAGAGAGGGAAUGUGGGUGUGUUUGGGAGUGUUUUGGUGGCUUUGGGUAGGUUUGGGUGUGUUUGGGGAGUUUUUUAUGAUUAUUUAAAGAGGUUUUUUUGGGCUGGAGAGGAGUUUUUUGGGCUGGAGAGGAGUUUUUUGGGCUGGAGAGAAUUUUUUUGGGUCUGGAGAGGAGCUUUUUGGGCUGGAGAGAAAUGUUUUGGGCUGGAGAGAAGGUUAUGUUUUGGGCUGGAGAGAAGGUUUUGUGGGCUGGAGGGAAGUUUUUUGGGCUGGAGGGAAGUUUUUUGGGCUGGAGAGGAGAUUUUGGGCUGGAGAGGAUCGUUUCAGGUCAGGUGGUUAAACACUACCGUCUAUCUAGUGGCUAUUGUAGGCUGUAUCUCUCUCUCUCUCUCUCUCUCUCUCUCUCUCUCUCUCUCUCUCUCUCUCUCUCUCUCUCUCUCUCUCUCGGCGAGAUAGCAAGGUACACACACCACCACCCCUCACACACACACACACACACACACACACACACACACACACACACACACACACACACACACACACACAGCCCCCUCCCCCUCUCCCCCCUUUAUCGUAACGUAUAAACAGGACUAAACGUGUUACCAAUGCCAGCAAUGUAAACAAAACCACGUGACUUUGAAAUGUAAACAAAAAAGUCACGUGACCAGAUAAUGUAAACAAAACCACAUGACUGAAAUGUAAACAAAAAAGUCACGUGACCAGAUAAUGUAAACAAAACCACGUGACUUUCAAAUGUAAACAAAAAAGUCACGUGACCAGAUAAUGUAAACAAAACCACGUGACUUUGAAAUGUAAACACAAGGUCACGUGACUUGCAAAUGUAAACAAAACGAAAAAAAACAAACAACCGCCAUCUUGAAAGCAACGUAAACAAACAAACAAACAAACACGUGGAUAUAUUAACAGUUUGCACUUAAAACAAACAAACAAACAAACAAAUACUUGGUACACACGCUUAGUCCCAUAAUUAGAAGGUAAAACACACACACACACGCACACACGCACACACACACACACACACACACACACACACACACACACACACACACACACACACAGUCUAGGUGAGUUAAUCUUUAUAAUAAAAAAAAAAAUUCUUAAGAUUAGUUAGUUAAAUAAGAAAAAUAUAAAAAGUUAGAUAAUUCAAACAUACACACAUUAUCAUUAUUAUUAUUAUUAUUAUUAUUAUUAUUAUUAUUAUUAUUAUUAUUAUUGUUAUUCGACUUAGCUCCUUGCAGAUAUUCAAAAUGGUGUCUUUUUUUAUUUAUUUUAUUUUUUCUAUAUAUAAUACUUAAAUAGGUAAGAUUCAUCGCUAAUAUUACAAUGUGUGUAUGUUUGUGUGUACAUAUGUGUGUGUGUGCGUGUGUACGUGUGUGUGUGUGUGUGUGUGUGUGUGUGUGUGUGUGUGUGUGUGUGUGUGUGUGUGUGUCAUUAUCAACCUCAGAACCUCCGGGUAUUGUGUGUGUGUGUGUGUGUGUGUGUGCGUGUGUGUGUGUGUGCGUGCGUGCGUGCGUAGGUUUAUAGCGAGUCUAAGGUACUCCUAAACGGGUCUUAUUUAACCUCCUCCUCCUCCUCCUCCUCCUCCUCCUCCUCCUCCUCCUCCUCCUCCUCUUCUUUUUUAUUUUUCAAUGUUAUUUUUCUUAAUUUUUUUGUGAUUUUUUCUUCGUUCUCCUCCUCCUCCUCCUCCCUCGUCAUCUUCUUCCUCUUCUUCUUCUUCCUCCUCCUCCUCCUCCUCCUCCUCCUCCUCCUCCUCCUCCUCCUCCUCCUCCUCCUCCUCCUCCUCUCCCUCGUCCUCUUUAUUUUUUUUACUGAUUUUUUCAUUAGUCUUCCGUUUCCUUCCUUUUCCUCCUCCUCCUCCUCCUCCUCCUCCUCCUCCUCCUCCUCCUCCUCCUCCUCCUCCUCCUCCUCCGGUCACAUUUUUGGAAGAAAACGUAGAUUUUAGGGAAAUUUUCAGCAAAGUUUUCAAUUCUUUUAUUUUUACAAUUUCAUUUUUUGUACAUAAACUAAAAUAUUUUAUUAUUAUUAUUAUUAUUAUUAUUAUUAUUAUUAUUAUUAUUAUUAUUAUUAUUACUUUCAUAGUCUGGGAUCUUGUGUGUGUGUGUGUGUGUGUGUGUGUGUGUGUGUGUGUGUUUGUGUAUGUGUGUAUGUAUGUACGUAUGUACUCGUAUGUGUGUAUGUAUGUAUGCAAGCGUACACAGAAACACACACACGCACACACACACAGGUCAUUCAUAAUAUAUACAUGAAUGACACACACACACACACACACACACACACACACACACACACACACACACACACACACACACACACACACACACAGAUCCCACUCCAGUAUACUAUGGGUGUAUGUAUGUACGUACGUGUGUGUGUGCGCGCGCGCGUGUGUGUGUAUACGUGCGUUCGUGUGUGCGUCAUUUAGGCAGGAUCAAUUUAUCAGGAUAUAUUCUAUAGGCCUAAAAAAAUACCAUCUUCAGGUUAUGUAAACAGACAAACAAACAAACAAACAGUUUAACAAACAAACAAUUUAGAUAGUCAUGUAGGUAACACAGAUAUUAAUAGGCUUAAAGAUAACUCUCUCUCUCUCUCUCUCUCUCUCUCUCUCUCUCUCUCUCUCUCUCUCUCUCUCUCUCUCUCUCUCUCUCUCUCUCUCAUCGACUUUUAAUUUUUUUAUGUCAUGCUCAAAUUAUCUUUCAAAUCUCUCUCUCUCUCUCUCUCUCUCUCUCUCUCUCUCUCUCUCUCUCUCUCUCUCUCUCUCUCUCUCUCUCUCUCUCUCUCUCCCCCAGUCUGUUAUUGCUAAUACUUUUCUUCUUCUUCUUCUUCUUCUUCUUCUUCUUCUUCUUCUUCUUCUUCUUUAGUCUACUUAUAGCUGAUGAUGAUGAUGAUGAUGAUGAUAAUGAUAAUAAUGAGAAAAUUUCUUAUAUCAAUGAUGAUGAUGAUGAUGAUUGUUAUUAUUAUUAUUAUUAUUAUUAUUAUUAUUAUUAUUAUUAUUAUUAUUAUUAUUAUUUUCAUUAUUACUAUUAUUAUUAUUACUUAAUACUACUACUAUUACUAUCACGCGCACACGCACACACACACGCGCACACACACACACACACACACACACACACACACACACACACACACACCUGGGAAAAUCAUUCUUUCUCAUUAUUAUUAUUAUUAUUAUUAUUAUUAUUAUUAUUAUUAUUAUUAUUAUCAUUAUUAUUAUUUUGCAUUAUCAUUGAAGAAAAAAAAUGCAUGAACGAAUGAAAAACAGUUAAUUUCAAUGUAUAAUUAACAUUUUUUUAAGCAUUACCAUCCAAAAAUAUAUAUAACAAUGUAUGUAAUUCAAAAUAUGUAAUCGUCUUGGGAAGUAAUUAUAAUUGAGCAAAAAAAAACAGGUAUAUAUUGUCAUUAUUAUUAUUAUUAUUAUUAUUGUUAUUUAGAGUGCCUAAGUAAUUACAAUUGCAGGAUUACAGUGCCUAGAAGAGAUUAUGUAACUCUCUCUCUCUCUCUCUCUCUCUCUCUCUCUCUCUCUCUCUCUCUCUCUCUCUCUCUCUCUCUCUCUCUCUCUCUCUCGUGUGUGUACAUUAAUUCAUGUGCAUCUAUGUACGUUUUUUUUCCGUUUUACGCAAUGCUAUGUACGUGUGUGUGUGUGUGUGUGUGUGUGUGUGUGUGUGUGUGUGUGUGUGUGUGUGUGUGUGUGUGUGUGUGUGUUUACGUAUGCGUCAAUAUUUUGGCUUGAAAUGUACACGCACACACACACACACACACACACACACACACACACACACACACACACACACACACACACACACACAUAAAAUUUUUGGUUCACUUUCUCUUUGAUGUACAUGCCUGCGUGUGUGCGUGUGUGCGUGCGUGUGUGUACGCAUUCAUACGCACACAACCACCAGCGUAACCAUUCAUCCAUGUACGUUUUUUGAACCGUAGUAAAAAUAAUGAAAAUUUUGUGUAAAUGUUGAUUUUAUUUCAUUUUUUAUUUAAUUUAUAAGCAAAUAUGUAUACAAAUUGUGCGUGCGUGCGUGCGUUUGUGCGUGUCGUUCGGAUAUCACAAGAAAUACCUCAUGUCGCUUCUAACAAACAAACAAACAAACAAACAAAACCAUUACCGGUAGAUUAUUGACCUCAACAAAGUCAGAUUGUGAGUGACAAAAUGAAAAAAAUAUGCUUUUUCUUUUUUUUUUCAAUUUGUUUUUUCACUCGUAUGUCUGAAUGUGUGUGUGUUUGUGCGUGUGUAUGUUUGUUUGUGUGUUUAUUUCUGUAUCUUCAAUGUAAAUAGUACUAGAAAAAUUAUUAUUAUUAUUAUUAUUAUUAUUAUUAUUAUUAUUAUUAUUAUUAUUAUUACCACUCAUUCAACCGUUUUUUAUUUAUUUAUUUAUUUAUUUAUUCAUUUCAUUAUUGUUUUCAUUCUUAGUACUAUUAUUAUUUUUAUUAUUAUUAUUUUUAUUAUUAUUAUUAUUAUUAUUAUUAUUAUUAUUAUUAUUAUUAUUAUUAUCGGUAGUGCGGAUAAUGAUGUACCAGUUUUCUCUACAAGAUUUCUAAUAAAUGUACUACAAAGC